rnacentral:rRNA from 1 species
CCUACGGGUGGCAGCAGUGAGGAAUAUUGGUCAAUGGACGCGAGCCUGAACCAGCCAAGUAGCGUGAAGGAUGACGGACCUAUGGGUUGUAAACCUCUUUUAUAAGGGAAUAAAGUGCGGCACGUGUGCCGCUUCGCAUGUACCUUAUGAAUAAGGAUCGGCUAACUCCGUGCCAGCAGCCGCGGUAAUACGGAGGAUCCGAGCGUUAUCCGGAUUUAUUGGGUUUAAAGGGUGCGUAGAUGGGAUUUUAAGUCAGCGGUGAAAGUGUGUGGCUCAACCGUAAAAUUGCAGUUGAAACUGGCGGUCUUGAGUACUGGUGAGGUAGGCGGAAUGCGUGGUGUAGCGGUGAAAUGCAUAGAUAUCACGCAGAACCCCGAUUGCGAAGGCAGCCUGCCAAGCCAUGACUGACGUUGAUGCACGAAAGCGUGGGGAUCGAACAGGAUUAGAUACCCUUGUAGUC